rnacentral:rRNA from 1 species
GAUGAACGCUGGCGGUAUGCUUAACACAUGCAAGUCGAACGAAGCCUUUCGGGGCUUAGUGGCGGACGGGUGAGUAACGCGUGAGAAUCUGCCAUCAGGUCUGGGACAACCACUGGAAACGGUGGCUAAUACUGGAUGUGCCCUUCGGGGUGAAAGGUUAACUGCCUGUUGAUGAGCUCGCGUCUGAUUAGCUAGUAGGUGUGGUAAAGGCGCACCUAGGCGACGAUCAGUAGCUGGUCUGAGAGGACGAUCAGCCACACUGGGACUGAGACACGGCCCAGACUCCUACGGGAGGCAGCAGUGGGGAAUUUUCCGCAAUGGGCGAAAGCCUGACGGAGCAAUACCGCGUGAGGGAGGAAGGCUCUUGGGUCGUAAACCUCUUUUCUCAGGGAAGAACACAAUGACGGUACCUGAGGAAUAAGCAUCGGCUAACUCCGUGCCAGCAGCCGCGGUAAUACGGAGGAUGCAAGCGUUAUCCGGAAUGAUUGGGCGUAAAGCGUCCGCAGGUGGCGAUGUAAGUCUGCUGUUAAAGAGUCUAGCUCAACUAGAUAAGAGCAGUGGAAACUACAUAGCUAGAGUACGUUCGGGGCAGAGGGAAUUCCUGGUGUAGCGGUGAAAUGCGUAGAGAUCAGGAAGAACACCAGUGGCGAAGGCGCUCUGCUAGGCCGUAACUGACACUGAGGGACGAAAGCUAGGGGAGCGAAUGGGAUUAGAUACCCCAGUAGUCCUAGCCGUAAACGAUGGAUACUAGGCGUGGCUUG